GCCAUUUAUUCUCUCCCACGACCUGAUCUGUGCGCCUUCUUUAUUUCGGUUUCCCCCAUAUCUCCCCAGCGUCUCCUAUUUCUUUCUUGCGUGCGUUUCCCUUGCCCCUGCCAGCCCUAGCUGUGCUUCUCCCUCCUGCCGAUCUACUGCUGCUGUCAAGGGAAACUAGAGCAUCGAGAGAACAGAAGACAAAAAGAGAAAGGAAGCAAAGGACAGGGCUGCACAAACCCUAGGCCUUUGGGGGAUCAAGGUGGUGCACCUUCGGAUCGUGCCUAGUUCAAAGCUCUCUUGAUCUUCGUCGAAGGUGCUUGAGUGGAUGCUUUACUUGAAGGGAUGGGAUUAGCUGCACAUCAUCACAUCUUUGACCACAUGUUUUUAUAGCAAUAAUGACAAAUUUUGUCUUGGUGUAAUAAGUUUUCUAGUAGACCUUGUGUUGAUUUUUCUUGGCUUCAUAAGAUUGAGUGUGGAUGACAUUUGUUAUUUAUCCUUUGUUUAAAUUGCUUUUUAUUUG